UGAUAGCGGCCUACGACGGCGCCCAACUC
rnacentral:sRNA from 1 species